AGUGAACGCUGGCGGUAGGCCUAACACAUGCAAGUCGAACGGCAGCACAGAGGAGCUUGCUCCUUGGGUGGCGAGUGGCGGACGGGUGAGGAAUACAUCGGAAUCUACUCUGUCGUGGGGGAUAACGUAGGGAAACUUACGCUAAUACCGCAUACGACCUACGGGUGAAAGCAGGGGAUCUUCGGACCUUGCGCGAUUGAAUGAGCCGAUGUCAGAUUAGCUAGUUGGCGGGGUAAAGGCCCACCAAGGCGACGAUCCGUAGCUGGUCUGAGAGGGUGAUCAGCCACACUGGAACUGAGACACGGUCCAAACUCCGACGGGAGGCAGCAGUGGGGAAUAUUGUACAAUGGGCGCAAGCCUGAUUCAGCCAUACCGCGUGGGUGAAGAAGGCCUUCGGGUUGUAAAGCCCUUUUGUUGGGAAAGAAAUCCAUCUGGUUAAUACCCGGGUGGGAUGACGGUACCCAAAGAAUAAGCACCGGCUAACUUCGUGCCAGCCGCCGCCGUAA
rnacentral:rRNA from 1 species